rnacentral:rRNA from 1 species
UACGGAGGGGGCUAGCGUUGUUCGGAAUUACUGGGCGUAAAGCGCACGUAGGCGGCUUUGUAAGUUAGAGGUGAAAGCCCGGAGCUCAACUCCGGAACUGCCUUUAAGACUGCAUCGCUUGAACGUCGGAGAGGUAAGUGGAAUUCCGAGUGUAGAGGUGAAAUUCGUAGAUAUCGGGAGGAACACCAGUGGCGAAGGCGACUCGCUGGGCAGAGACUGACGCUGAGAACGCGAAAGCGUGGGGAGCAAACAGG